CAAAGGUGAGCCAGUACAGGAUGGACCCGCGUCUGAUUAGCUAGUUGGUAAGGUAACGGCUUACCAAGGCGACGAUCAGUAGCCGACCUGAGAGGGUGAUCGGCCACAUUGGAACUGAGACACGGUCCAAACUCCUACGGGAGGCAGCAGUGGGGAAUAUUGCACAAUGGGCGAAAGCCUGAUGCAGCAACGCCGCGUGAGUGAUGAAGGCCUUCGGGUCGUAAAACUCUGUCCUCAAGGAAGAUAAUGACGGUACUUGAGGAGGAAGCCCCGGCUAACUACGUGCCAGCAGCCGCGGUAAUACGUAGGGGGCUAGCGUUAUCCGGAUUUACUGGGCGUAAAGGGUGCGUAGGCGGUCUUUCAAGUCAGGAGUGAAAGGCUACGGCUCAACCGUAGUAAGCUCUUGAAACUGGGAGACUUGAGUGCAGGAGAGGAGAGUGGAAUUCCUAGUGUAGCGAUGAAAUGCGUAGAUAUUAGGAGGAACACCAGUUGCGAAGGCGGCUCUCUGGACUGUAACUGACGCUGAGGCACGAAAGCGUGGGGAGCAAACAGGAUUAGAUACCCUGGUAGUCCACGCUGUAAACGAUGAGUACUAGGUGUCGGGGGUUACCCCCUUCG
rnacentral:rRNA from 1 species